rnacentral:tRNA from 1 species
GCCUGGGUGGCUCAGUUGGUUGAGCGUCCGACUUCGGCUCAGGUCAUGAUCUCGCGGUUCGUGAGUUUGAGCCCCACAUCGGGCU